GACGAACGCUGGCGGCGUGCUUAACACAUGCAAGUCGAACGGAAAGGCCCCUUUGGGGGUACUCGAGUGGCGAACGGGUGAGUAACACGUGAGUAACCUGCCCUUGACUUCGGGAUAACUUCAGGAAACUGGGGCUAAUACCGGAUAGGAAUCCUUGCUGCAUGGUGGGGGUUGGAAAGCUUCGGCGGUUUUGGAUGGACUCGCGGCUUAUCAGCUUGUUGGUGGGGUAGUGGCUUACCAAGGCUUUGACGGGUAGCCGGCCUGAGAGGGCGACCGGCCACAUUGGGACUGAGAGACGGCCCAGACUCCUACGGGAGGCAGCAGUGGGGAAUAUUGCACAAUGGGCGGAAGCCUGAUGCAGCAACGCCGCGUGCGGGAGGACGGCCUUCGGGUUGUAAACCGCUUUCAGCAGGGGCGAAGCUUGUGGUGACGGUACCUGCAGAAGAAGCACCGGCUAACUACGUG
rnacentral:rRNA from 1 species